CCUGGGAGCAUAAGCCACUGUCCACCAGAGCCUAGCAGCAACUGCAAAGAUCAAGGCAACCAGAAAAAGUGGGAAAGCAGAAGCAGAAAAGGAAGUUGUCCAUCCAAGGAGGGCUGGGAGACCCACACUGUGUAUAAUGUGACCUGACACUCCAGAUCUUCACUUUCCCUUUCUGGAACUUAGACCGUAUCUUGGAGGCUCGAAAAAUCACUGAAAGAUUACACCUGGCACUGUUUAUGCUGUUUACCUCUGAAGACCGAGACUGACUUUAGUAGGUAUUACUUUUGUACUAAGAAGAAGAAGAAAGAAAAAAAGAUAAAGUCCCGGAUAAGAUAAUGGUAUGCUGAGAGAGACCACCCCUUGUUCCUAGUGUGCUUACCCUUCUGGUAUGGGUGUAGCUAUGUGUGUGGUUAUUGUGUGGUUAAAUCAACAACAGGCUACAGGCUUGCAAGGGGGCAAGUCUCUGUAAGAUCCCCUGUGUGGAGGCUGAGGGCCCAUAAUCUGGGUUGGGAUGUGUUCAUGGGGGCACAGCUUCCCCAAGCAGAGAAUAAUAGGGGGCCAGACACAUAGCCACAGGGAUGGCUGGAGGCAGGUGACGCCAGCCC